GGAUUGGGAGGGUUCUACGGAACCCGUUUGGUGAAUCUAGUGCCGAGAAAAGCCUUCUAUGUGUUGAAUUUCUAGUACCCGUACCCCAAACCGACACAGGUGGGUGGGUAGAGCAUACCUAGGGGCGCGUGAUAACUCUCUCUAAGGAACUCGGCAAAAUGGCCCUGUAACUUCGGGAUAAGGGGUGUCUGCGUGAGCAGGCCGCAGUGAAAUGGCUCUGGCGACUGUUUACCAAAAACACAGGUCUCUGCUAAGUCGUAAGACGAUGUAUAGGGGCUGACUCCUCCCCAGUGCCGGAAGGUUAAGGAAGUUGGUUAGCGCAAGCGAAGCUGGCGACCGAAGCCCCGGUGAACGGCGGCCGUAACAAUAACGGUCCUAAGGUAGCGAAAUUCCUUGUCGGGUAAGUUCCGACCCGCACGAAAGGAGUAACGAUCAGAGCGCUGUCUCGGAGAGAGACACGGCGAAAUAGGAUUGUCCGUGAAGAUACGGACUACCUGCACCCGGACAGAAAGACCCUAUGAAGCUUUACUGUAACUUGGAAUUGUGUUCGGACUUUGUCUGCGCAGAAUAGGUGGGAGGCUAUGAAACGUUCCUCGCGGGGAACUGGAGCCAUCGUUGAGAUACCACUCUGGCAGAGUCUGGAUUCUAACCUACGGGGACAGUUCCAGGUGGGCAGUUUGACUGGGGCGGUCGCCUCCUAAAAUGUAACGGAGGCGCGCAAAGGUUCCCUCAGGCUGGUUGGAAAUCAGCCAUAGAGUGUAAAAGCAUAAGGGAGCUUGACUGUGAGACCUACAAGUCGAGCAGGGACGAAAGUCGGCUUUAGUGAUCCGACGGCACUGAGUGGAAGGGCCGUCGCUCAACGGAUAAAAGUUACUCUAGGAUAACAGGCUGAUCUCCCCCAAGAGUUCACAUUGACGGGGAGGUUUGGCACCUCGAUGUCGGCUCGUCGCAACCUGGGGCGGUAGUACGUCCCAAGGGUUGGGCUGUUCGCCCAUUAAAGCGGCACGUGAGCUGGGUUCAGAACGUCGUGAGACAGUUCGGUCCAUAUCCGGUGUAGGCGUAGGAGCAUUGAAAGGAUCUCUCCUUAGUACGAGAGGACCGGGAGGGACGUACCUCUGGUGUACCUGUUAUCGUGCCAACGGUAAACGCAGGGUAGCCAUGUACGGAGUGGAUAACCGCUGAAAGCAUCUAAGUGGGAAGCCCACCUUAAGAUGAGUGCUCCCUUGAGGCCACGGGAAGACGACCCGUUUGAUAGGCGCUAGGUGGAAGUGCAGUAAUGCAUGCAGCCGAGGCGUACUAAUAGGCCGAUGGCUUGUC
rnacentral:rRNA from 1 species